UAUGACGAAUCAGAAGUGAAUGAUUUUUGUUUCCUCAUUUCUUCUCUGUUAAUUCAUGAUUGAACAAACAAGACAUAUAUAAACCAUAUAAAAGAGCCAUGAUGUCUGAGGUGCUGAGUACAGUGGAACUCUGAUUUCUCACUGCUAAUUUCCUGCAUCAUAUCGGGGCAGACGGGUUGCCUUCCACAUUAACAAUGUUCCAGUGCUGUUGUUGUAGAGACAACAGUCUUAUUUACAAAGCAGAGGUGUUCACUGGAGAAAUGCUGUACGCCGGCACAAUGAACAGUAUCUAUAUACAACUCCGUGGCACAAUGGAUUCAAGCCAUCGCAUCUGCCUCCCAAAAAGUAGAUUCAUUGGGGGCCACCCCCGAGGGGCUGUGAGUAACCCAUUGCUACAACUUUCCUUCCUUUGACCAUCUGUCCAUUUGGGUGACAAAAUCUAAAUCCAUUCACAUUAUUUUCAUUCUUAUGACUAGCAUACACUAAGCUAACAUGUGGAAUUGUUUAAGGACCCCUUAAGGUAUCCCCAAAAAUAUUUGAUGAAACAUUGAGUUUGGCCUUACUGCUCUUAGCCCAUAGAAAACAUCAUACAUGGAUGAACAGAUUAUCUAAAGAAAGUUUGUUCUGAAGUGUCUGUCCUAUAUCUGAGAGAUAUAAGAAAGAUCAGGAAACUAUUUAUAUAUAUGGUUUUUACAUGUAUUUAACCCCUUAUUUUAGGUACUAAACUAUCUUCAUAUAUACUUACAUUCAUUUUUUGUAACUGGUUCCACACUACCUUUAAACUAGUCUUGUGACGCUUGCAGGCUUCCUAGAGCAAAACACAUGUUUGUGAUAGUCUCAUCUUUCCAUAGAGGGGUCAUAAUAGUUUGCAGGCCAAACCCUUCGGAAGCUACAGACGUUUUUGUGAGAAGACCGAUUUUUGGGAUGUCUCAUGGUCUGACAAACACAGCUCUAGCUCUGCCAUCUUUCACCCUAGAUGCUGAAGGGUGACAUCGGCGGAUGUGAUGAAUUUAGACGCAGUCCAUGUAAAAAAUUCUCUCUAGCUUAAACUGAUGGAUUUUGAUGGGGAUUUUUGUUUAUGCUAAUUCGAUUUCCGCAGGGGCGCAGACAUAGACAUGAGGAGGGUUUAAACUGGUUGGAACAAGGGGAGAGAGUACAUCCCAAAAACUGUCAGCCAAGUUCUCCAAAAAGUUGUAUUAUGUGCAACCAGAGAUUCUGGGUUCGAGCCCAGGCUUAGCCGCAGCCGG